GGGGAAUAUUGCACAAUGGGCGGAAGCCUGAUGCAGCAACGCCGCGUGCGGGAUGACGGCCUUCGGGAUGUAAACCGCUUUCGCCUGUGACGAAGCGUGAGUGACGGUAAUGGGUAAAGAAGCACCGGCUAACUACGUGCCAGCAGCCGCGGUGAUACGUAGGGUGCGAGCGUUGUCCGGAUUUAUUGGGCGUAAAGGGCUCGUAGGUGGUUGAUCGCGUCGGAAGUGUAAUCUUGGGGCUUAACCCUGAGCGUGCUUUCGAUACGGGUUGACUUGAGGAAGGUAGGGGAGAAUGGAAUUCCUGGUGGAGCGGUGGAAUGCGCAGAUAUCAGGAGGAACACCAGUGGCGAAGGCGGUUCUCUGGGCCUUUCCUGACGCUGAGGAGCGAAAGCGUGGGGAGCGAACAGGCUUAGAUACCCUGGUAGUCCACGCUGUAAACGGUGGGUACUAGGUGUGGGGUCCAUUCCACGGGUUCCGUGCCGUAGCUAACGCUUUAAGUACCCCGCCUGGGGGGUACGGCCGCAAGGCUA
rnacentral:rRNA from 1 species